UGGUUCUCGCAUCGAUGAAGAACGCAGCGAAUUGCGAUAUGUAAUGUGAAUUGCAGAAUUCAGUGAAUCAUCGAAUCUUUGAACGCACCUUGCACCCUCUGGUAUUCUGGAGGGUAUGCCUGUUUGAGUGUCAUUAAUCUCUCAACACAAGAAACUUUUUUGUUUCUUGUGCUUGGAUGUUGAAGGUUUUGCUGGCGCAAACAACUGUCAGCUCCUUUUAAAUGCAUUAGCAGAGCAGUGUAGGACUGGCCUCAGUUUGAUAAGAAACAUUUAUCUAUGCUGUCGCUAGCUUUCCUCUUUGUGUUCAGCUUCAAACUGUCUUCGGACUGUCUCUCUUGAGGCAAAAAAUUUGUUGAUCGACCUCAAAUCAGGUAGGACUACCCGCUGA
rnacentral:misc_RNA from 1 species